rnacentral:misc_RNA from 1 species
CCCAAAUUGACGGUUUCCCCGUUGCACGAACUGCUAGCUGCUACAGCUUCGGUUCAGAUACUGGCUGCCUGAAAUGGUACCACUGUGCCACAAAUCGCACUCGACGGAUGCUGCGUUUCCGGUGAAAUUGGGAUACAACGAUGGCGCUGCCCAGGCCACUGGUAACACUGACCAAGUCACGCUGGCGCCGGUCUGGACAUCGGGAAAUGGUUUCGCACUUCAGGCUCUGACGGGCGAUGACUUCUCAACAACAAGGGUAAGGAACAGGAAUGAGCCAAAGGAGAUGACGAGAGCCGCGGCCAUCAGGAGAAGCAUGGCUUGCAGCGUGAUGCUUGGGCUCAGGAAGAAGAUGACUGCGAUGGCGCCCGACUG